AUUGAACGCUGGCGGCAUGCCUUACACAUGCAAGUCGAACGGCAGCACGGGAGCAAUCCUGGUGGCGAGUGGCGAACGGGUGAGUAAAGUAUCGGAACGUGCCCAGUCGUGGGGGAUAACGUAGCGAAAGUUACGCUAAUACCGCAUACGAUCUAUGGAUGAAAGCGGGGGAUCGCAAGACCUCGCGCGAUUGGAGCGGCCGAUAUCAGAUUAGGUAGUUGGUGGGGUAAAGGCCCAGCAAGCCGACGAUCUGUAGCUGGUCUGAGAGGACGACCAGCCACACUGGGACUGAGACACGGCCCAGACUCCUACGGGAGGCAGCAGUGGGGAAUUUUGGACAAUGGGCGAAAGCCUGAUCCAGCCAUGCCGCGUGCAGGAUGAAGGCCUUCGGGUUGUAAACUGCUUUUGUACGGAACGAAGAGGACUGCCCUAAUACGGUGGUCCCAUGACGGUACCGUAAGAAUAAGCACCGGCUAACUACGUGCCAGCCGCCGCAGUAA
rnacentral:rRNA from 1 species